rnacentral:tRNA from 1 species
GCGAGUGUAGUUCAAUGGUAGAACCCCAGAUUUCCAAUCUGGCUAUGUCAGUUCGAUUCUGAUCACUUGCU